rnacentral:lncRNA from 1 species
UUUGGCUGCUUUGAUUCUCGAUCGUUGUACUUGCAAGUUUAUUGCAUAAUCAAAUAAUUUGAACAUGCUAAGAAAAUAUCUGAUCGUCCCUCUGAUGAGUAAGAUCACACAUUGUUAGUCUUUUGUAUACGCAAUUGUUUGAUAUUUAAGCAACUUCAUUGUAGGAUAUUUUGUUUUUUUGAUCUUUUGGAAUGUUCUCAUGCUAGAUCAGUGUGAGCAUCGGCCUGUAACCUCUCCAAAAAAAAAGCAAUUUCUUUCAUCAUAUUUGAUGCAUAAGUUAUUUCAAGUUAAUGUAAUACUUUAGGAGGAAAUAAGCUAGAUAACCCAAUUGGGAGACAUAGAAUGCCUUUUCUAAUAUAUCAACCACAAAUGAAAGGUUUGGACAAAAGCAGGUGAUAUGCUUAUUAGUUCACAAUGCAACAGUGAUGAAUUUUCACACUAGAUGGGACUACCGAACCCAUAACCCUCAGAGCACCCUGAAGCAGAAUUCUCGUUUGAUCCCCAUCUCUUCAGCAGCUCCUCAUACUCUUCUUUCUCUAGGAGGGCUGCCCCCGCUCUACUCUUCCACAACUGUGCUGCCUUUGUGAGCUCUAUCUCCGCUUCCUUUAUCAACAAAUCCAAAUCCAAAUCCAAGUUCAAAUCUAAGCUCAGACUCAAACCCCCUUCCACUCCCCUCUUCCACACCUCACCUUGAUCCUUUCCCUUCCAAUACUUCUCUUCCAGCAUUCUAAGGAACUCAUCCUCCACUUUCUCUACAUCGAAU